rnacentral:misc_RNA from 1 species
GAUGAAGAACGUAGCGAAAUGCGAUAAGUAGUGUGAAUUGCAGAAUUCCGUGAAUCAUCGAAUCUUUGAACGCACAUUGCGCCUUCUGGUAUUCCGGAAGGCAUGCCUGUUCGAGAGUCAUUAACAACCGUUUCGAUCCCUUUCUUUCAGAAAUUACAAAGAGGAAAAGGGUUUGGUUAUGGUGGAGGAGGGAAAGGGAGCGUUUAGCCUGUAAAAAAAGAGGCUGUGUUCCGCCUCCCCCCCAAAAUUGUACAGGCGGUCGUGUGCGCCCAUGCAUCGAGGUGUUGUAAAAGCUGCCACGGCACUUUUCACCUGUGCAGUGCGAGAUUGGCCAGCCGGUUUAAAAACCCCUCCAAACAAUCAAAGGUUGACCUCGGAUCAGGUAGGGAUACCCGCUGAACUUAAGCAUAUCAAUAAGCGGAGGA